CGGACCAAUUGAUCUAGAUAGGAGGAAGGGGAAGAACCGGCACCCGGAACCACCGCCCGUCGAGUUCUUCGCCGCCUACCUGAAUCGCCGCGCCCCCGACCCGGAUGGCCGCCGGCGGUGGCGGCAAGGGAGGAGGAGGAGGUCUUAUCCUUUCAAUGUGCUUGUGUUGUUCCAAUGGAAAUAUUUGAUAUGAAUGUCCCCUCCAUGAAUCUAUAUGCAUAGACUGAAUUUGGCUGGAGAGUAUUUUGGCUCUUUUGAUAUCCUGCAAUGCCUAUUACAUGUACCAUAUGCAAUUCUUACAAAUGGAGAGCCUAAUGCUCACCAUCCUCAGCUGGAGAGGAGCGGUUUUGGGAUAAGAUUCGUGAUAAUAAGGAAUCAUAUCCACCCAACACAAGACAACAAGAACAAUUUAAUGGGCAGGACCAAUUGAGCUCUCAAUUUUCUUCAAGAGUUCAGGUGUCUUCUGGCCAAGUGGUAAUUACUAACAUCUCAAUUUCUUCCUCUAGAUUGCUUUGCCUGUUCUUUUAUUAUCAUUAGAAACCACCAAAUAACACCCCUCCCCUUCUUUCUCGGGGUUGGGCCGGCCUUGUUUGUUGCUUUGUAACAUAUAUACAUUCUUUUGUUCUUAGUCCAUGAUGGAUGU
rnacentral:lncRNA from 1 species